UGAGGCUAUUAGUGGCAAGGCUGCCGCCCAUUCUCCUGACCCUGGCGCUAUUUAGAUACGCUCCGCCACUGACAGGAGUCUCCUCACAGCACGCUUAACAAACUACAGUUGCCAGGAUGCUUUGGGGAAGCCAUGACUGUUUAAAGUGGUACAAUGCUGCUUUAAAUGUAUAGUGCAGAAAGGGCCUUGCUCUUUAUUUUUUAAUUUCUUCCUCAUUAACUCCCUACCGCCAUUGCUAAGCGACAUCUCAAAGAAGGCGUCUUGCCCUCCUUCCACCAUUGCUAAGCAACACCUCAUGGGAGUAACUGUCAGUUCCAACUGCCAACUUGAGGGAGUAACUGUCAGUUCCAACCAGGGUGGAUUUGAUUUAAAUCACGAUUUAAAUCACUAGUCAGUAAGACUUGAUUUAAAUCAUUAUUUUUGUUACAGAAAGACUCAUUCUUGCUGGUAUAAUCUUAAUAUUUACAACCAGAUGAAGAUCCCCUUUACAAUAAAGACAUUUUCAAGUAAAGCAGCAGAGCACAGAAACCUGGCCUAGAGCAAUUCCAAUUCUAGGUAACUGUGAUGUCAAAUUCUACCACAGAGAGCAAAAGGAGUUCACAGAACUAUGAAUUAAGCCUCGUAUGUCCCUUGGCAGCUGUGUUUCCUUGACGCCUCUGAGUAUUAAACAGUCUGCUCCAAAGGGAGAAUUGCUCCAAUCCCUUGAUCAUUUUGGUUGAUCUUCUCUGAACUUCUGCUAGAGGUAAGAAAUGUACCAGAAAUGUGCACAGUAUUUCCAGGAUGGUGUUCAAAACUCACCAAAGAUUUGUAUAACCGCAUUAUGAUAUUGACAGUUUCAUUUUCAUUCCUGUGACUAGUGAUUCCUAACUCGGAAUUCACAUUUUCCACAGCUGCCACACCCUAGGUUGACAUCUUCAUCAAUCUAUCUGCUAGAACUAAUUUUCUAUGUGCCUGGAACUUUCUUCAUGUCAAAGAACAAUCAUGUGAGACACACUUGCAGUUCUACUUCAGUGAGAACUGGGUCUUGCAGGAAGGAAUGUGUAAAUGUUUGUUAUAAACAUCUGCAAUGUUUAUUAUUACUAGUGAAUUUUUAUAGAAACAUCUAUGUACGUAGUGCUUUACAAAGAACACAGCUGACAUCUUCCUCCUCCAAAGGGACUUUGCACCCUAAGUAUUUCAAAUAGGCAUUCAGAUAAUCUUUAUUAUCACACCCUGCAUAAUGUGGAAUAACUCAGUGUUCGCCAAGACCUCAGUCACGUAGCAACAUGGACUCGUAUUUUAUUUCUAUUCAGAUAUCCACCCUGCUUCGUAAAGCACAAGUAGGAAACCUUAGUCACAGGGGCCAAAGGUGGCUGCCCAGACCCUCCCCAAGCCACAAUCUUUACUGGCUCUGUUCCAGGCCCUCCUUUUAAGUGAUUCUGCCAGGGUAGAGGUGGGAAUGUGUCCUGGCACUGUGAUAAUACCUCAGUUGCCUGGAUGGAUGGAUGGAUGGAAAGAUUUUGUGGGUGUGUAGAAAGCCAACCUGUUUGUGACUAGAAUGUAGCCUACUAUACAAAGGCGAGUGUCAUAUAUUUUGAAUCUGGCCCUGCCCAGAACUAGCAUAUGGUCCCUGAAAGGUCUCCCAUGCAGGAAUGCAGCAGUCAGGCUGCAAAAGGUUCGCCAUCCCUGUCAUAAACCAUGCUCUCAAAUAUCUUUUCAAUUAAAAAUCAAGAACAGUAGAACUCAGCAAAACCAAAAUAAAGGAAAUGCACACUAAGUUAAGACCAUCAACUUGGCCACAAAAAGACCCAUUUCCAGAACAAUUAUCUGCCUUCCCCUGGUCUGCAAAACAAGAAUAUUUUAACCACCUACAGCCUGGGAGAGAGUUUGAUUAACAUAAUUCUGUGGCUAGGGAAACUUUUAAGUUCCUUCCUGUGGGUAACACCACUUGGCUGGGGAAAAAACAUGAAACAGGAGAGUCACAUAUUUCCCGAGUUUUUUCUCCCUUUGCAUAAAAGUAGCUGCUGGGGUGACUUAACCCUUUCCCUAACACCAUUUUCUAUAUGUAAAUCAAGCCCUUUAGUUGGGACAGCCUUUUAUUGCAUAAUUUUGUUGUUGUUUAGUCGUUUAGUCAUGUC